rnacentral:rRNA from 1 species
GACAGAGGGUGCAAACGUUGUUCGGAAUUAUUGGGCGUAAAGAGCUCGUAGGCGGCUUGUCACGUCGGAUGUGAAAUCCCGAGGCUCAACCUCGGGUCUGCAGUCGAUACGAGCAAACUAGAGUGUUGCAGGGGAGACUGGAAUUCCUGGUGUAGCGGUGAAAUGCGUAGAUAUCUGAAGGAACAUCAGUGGCGAAAGCGACUUCCUGGACCAAUACUGACGCUCAUGUGCGAAAGCGUGGGGAGCAAACAGG